rnacentral:rRNA from 1 species
AUGGGGGGACCAUCCUCCAAGGCUAAAUACUCAUCAUCGACCGAUAGUGAACCAGUACCGUGAGGGAAAGGCGAAAAGAACCCCGGGAGGGGAGUGAAAUAGAACCUGAAACCUGAUGCAUACAAACAGUGGGAGCACCCUUGUGGUGUGACUGCGUACCUUUUGUAUAAUGGGUCAACGACUUACAUUCAGUAGCGAGCUUAACCGAAUAGGGGAGGCGUAGGGAAACCGAGUCUUAAUAGGGCGAACAGUUGCUGGGUGUAGACCCGAAACCGAGUGAUCUAUCCAUGGCCAGGUUGAAGGUGCCGUAACAGGUACUGGAGGACCGAACCCACGCAUGUUGCAAAAUGCGGGGAUGAGCUGUGGAUAGGGGUGAAAGGCUAAACAAACUCGGAGAUAGCUGGUUCUCCCCGAAAACUAUUUAGGUAGUGCCUCGAGCAAGACACUGAUGGGGGUAAAGCACUGUUAUGGCUAGGGGGUUAUUGCAACUUACCAACCCAUGGCAAACUAAGAAUACCAUCAAGUGGUUCCUCGGGAGACAGACAGCGGGUGCUAACGUCCGUUGUCAAGAGGGAAACAACCCAGACCGCCAGCUAAGGUCCCAAAUGAUAGAUUAAGUGGUAAACGAAGUGGGAAGGCCCAGACAGCCAGGAUGUUGGCUUAGAAGCAGCCAUCAUUUAAAGAAAGCGUAAUAGCUCACUGGUCGAGUCGUCCUGCGCGGAAGAUGUAACGGGGCUCAAAUCUAUAACCGAAGCUGCGGAUGCCAGUUUACUGGCAUGGUAGGGGAGCGUUCUGUAGGCCGAUGAAGGUGCAUUGUAAAGUGUGCUGGAGGUAUCAGAAGUGCGAAUGUUGACAUGAGUAGCGAUAAAGCGGGUGAAAAGCCCGCUCGCCGAAAGCCCAAGGUUUCCUACGCAACGUUCAUCGGCGUAGGGUGAGUCGGCCCCUAAGGCGAGGCAGAAAUGCGUAGUCGAUGGGAAACAGGUUAAUAUUCCUGUACUUGAUUCAAAUGCGAUGUGGGGACGGAGAAGGUUAGGUUAGCAAGCUGUUGGAAUAGCUUGUUUAAGCCGGUAGGUGGAAGACUUAGGCAAAUCCGGGUCUUCUUAACACCGAGAAGUGACGACGAGUGUCUACGGACAUGAAGUAACCGAUACCACGCUUCCAGGAAAAGCCACUAAGCUUCAGUUUGAAUCGAACCGUACCGCAAACCGACACAGGUGGGCAGGAUGAGAAUUCUAAGGCGCUUGAGAGAACUCGGGAGAAGGAACUCGGCAAAUUGAUACCGUAACUUCGGGAGAAGGUAUGCCCUCUAAGGUUAAGGACUUGCUCCGUAAGCCCUGGAGGGUCGCAGAGAAUAGGUGGCUGCGACUGUUUAUUAAAAACACAGCACUCUGCUAACACGAAAGUGGACGUAUAGGGUGUGACGCCUGCCCGGUGCUGGAAGGUUAAUUGAAGAUGUGCAAGCAUCGGAUCGAAGCCCCAGUAAACGGCGGCCGUAACUAUAACGGUCCUAAGGUAGCGAAAUUCCUUGUCGGGUAAGUUCCGACCCGCACGAAUGGCGUAACGAUGGCCACACUGUCUCCUCCCGAGACUCAGCGAAGUUGAAGUGGUUGUGAAGAUGCAAUCUACCCGCUGCUAGACGGAAAGACCCCGUGAACCUUUACUGUAGCUUUGCAUUGGACUUUGAAGUCACUUGUGUAGGAUAGGUGGGAGGCUUUGAAGCAGAGACGCCAGUCUCUGUGGAGCCGUCCUUGAAAUACCACCCUGGUGUCUUUGAGGUUCUAACCCAGACCCGUAAUCCGGGUCGGGGACCGUGCAUGGUAGGCAGUUUGACUGGGGCGGUCUCCUCCCAAAGAGUAACGGAGGAGUUCGAAGGUUACCUAGGUCCGGUCGGAAAUCGGACUGAUAGUGCAAUGGCAAAAGGUAGCUUAACUGCGAGACCGACAAGUCGAGCAGGUGCGAAAGCAGGACAUAGUGAUCCGGUGGUUCUGUAUGGAAGGGCCAUCGCUCAACGGAUAAAAGGUACUCCGGGGAUAACAGGCUGAU